rnacentral:misc_RNA from 1 species
GAUGAAGAACGCAGCGAAAUGCGAUACGUAAUGUGAAUUGCAGAAUUCAGUGAAUCAUCGAGUCUUUGAACGCACAUUGCGCCCCCUGGUAUUCCGGGGGGCAUGCCUGUCCGAGCGUCAUUGCUGUCCUCAAGCACGGCUUGUGUGUUGGGCCUCCGCCCCCCGGCUCCCGGGGGGCGGGCCCGAAAGGCAGCGGCGGCACCGCGUCCGGUCCUCGAGCGUAUGGGGCUUCGUCACCCGCUCCGUAGGCCCGGCCGGCGCCCGCCGGCGACCCCCCUCAAUCUUUCCAGGUUGACCUCGGAUCAGGUAGGGAUACCCGCUGAACUUAAGCAUAUCAAUAAGCGGAGGA